AGCACGCGUAGGAGAGUAGCAUUCGAAUCUCCCGACGAGUAUCUCUCGAGAGUAUCCUUCUCCGUUUCCGUGUUACGUGUCAUUAAAUCACGCGAUUGUGAAUCACGGGGGAAAGGGUGAUUCGAAACGAAGAGAAACGUUCCAUCCACGUUCGUUCGCCUCGAGGUUGAGGUGCGUAUGAAUCGACGUCUACAUCUCUCGUGAUCGGAACUUGGAUUGGCCCGCGGAUCUCGAAACGAGUCGGGGGAGGGCGUCGAGUAAUUAAAAUAGAGCCGAUCUGCCUCUGUCAAAAGUUAAACGCGAAAACGACGCGGUGGUGAGAAGAGAAACGGCGAAGAGGCGGACGAAAAAGAAAACGACGAGAGUGCGUCGCCUGGCGUAAAAGGCUUCGGUUUAGAGGUCUCUUUAAUUAGUGCGUCUGUCGUGAAGAUAACGAGAAAAACGAAAAAGAGGUAGAGAGGAGGGGGGAGAAGAGAGAGAGAAAAAAGAAAACAAGCAUCGUGACCGGAGAGCUAUGCGAAGACUCGUAAAUGGAUGGAGUGCGAACAAUGCCAGAUCGCACAGGCAUCGACCAUUCGUGAGACAGAAACAGCGACAGGGCUCAUCUAUUAUUGGCGCAAAACAGAAAUAAAAUGCAGUGCGACGGCCUGCGAAACGUAUGGUGCUCACAUUGUGCCAACAACUUUUGUCUCGCCUUUCGUUUUCAAUAUUUUUUCCCCCGCGCACCUUCCCUUCACGCCUCCCCGCACUUGACCUCUUCCCCACCCACCCAUCAUCCUAUUGACCAAUUGGAACGCGAUUUUAUCUAUUUUAUCGCGACAUAUAACACGGCAAAGCGAUUGUCCAGCGCGGCUCGUGUCAAGAGUGUCUCGUUGAACCGACGUCUUGUCGCUUGCUCGUCCUUUUGAUUUCGGUAUCAGCCAACGCUCGCGUUUACAAACAUCCGAAAAUGCAUCGAGGAUGAAUCACGGAGGAGACGAAGCAUCGAGCAUUUGUUUUUAAUUUCGUUCCAUUUUAACAAGGGCGCUUGAGCGCUUUCGAUUUUCAAGCGAUUUCCGUGUUGUGGAAGAAGUCGUAAAAAAAGCGAUGCAUAAUCCAUCCAGAGAUACGAUACGCUAAAAUCAUUUUAAUGAAAAAAAUGAUCAUGCCGUUUAAAUUAUGAUACAACAAUUUAAUUUAUAUCUCUGGACAAACUGUGCGCAAAGAUAGUUUUGAAAACUUACCACAGUGAUGGGGUAGACCGGGUUAAUGAUUGUGAACAGGAGAACGUGGUUUGGUUUAUUAUUGUCUUCUCUGGAAAAAAAAGGAACAAAAAUAUAAUAACGUGCGAUCUA